AGCAGCCGCGGUAAUUCCAGCUCCAAUAGCGUAUAUUAAAGUUGUUGCAGUUAAAAAGCUCGUAGUUGAACUUCGGGGUCUACCCAUUGGUCAGGCUUAAUUGUCUGCACUGGUGAGAUGGAUCUCUACCUUCUGAGGAACUUUCAUGCCAUUUAUUUGGUGUGGUUGGAAAUCAGGACUGUUACUUUGAAAAAAUUAGAGUGUUUAAAGCAGACUAUCGUCUGAAUACAUUAGCAUGGAAUAAUGAAAUAGGACGGACUGACUCUAUUUCGUGGUUCUAGGAUCACCGUAAUGAUUAAUAGGGAUAGUUGGGGGCAUUAGUAUUCAAUUGUCAGAGGUGAAAUUCUUGGAUUUAUUGAAGACUAACUACUGCGAAAGCAUUUGCCAAGGAUGUUUCAUUAAUCAAGAACGAAAGUUAGGGGAUCGAAGACGAUCAGAUACCGUCGUAGUCUUAACCAUAAACUAUGCCGACUAGGGAUCGGACGAAGUUAAUUUUAUAAUGACGCGUUC
rnacentral:rRNA from 1 species